CUGCUCCCAGUGUUUUCGUGACAGCAUGUUUUUCCCGAUAUAUUUUAUCCUAUUCUAAGUCCUCCUAUCUCCCGACAGACUCUGCUCUGCUAGUUAUACAUCGGACAGAACCUAAAGUGAAGUGCGGGAUGACUUUGACCAAAGGAAGCUUCCCUGAGGCUGAGGAAGUGUAAGUCUACCAGAUGCAUCAUCAUCUGUGAACUUCCCUGUUUCUUCCCACACAUGAACAAAUGGAUUUGGGAGCACUGUGUUGUAAUAAGUGGGCCCUAAACCCCCAAAUUCUCUACUGGAAGGCACAAGCAACCAGAUUUGCAGUUGGUAUAACGGAGGUCUGAUCUGGAAAGACUCUUGGAAUGCAGGAUGUGCCACUUCCUCUAUGAACAUGUUGGUGGUCUCCAGACAGGAUAAACGAGAAAAAAAGUAGCUACUUCCACUUGCUGCUCAUAGAGGCCAGAUGGCCAGAUGUCUCAGCCACCAUUUGCGGUGGACAGUUAUUUUGAGUCAGUCACAUGCUGUGCUAGAUCUGGGUAGGAUUUAAUAUCCUUGUUACUGUAGGGAAAAAAGAUCUGUGACCCCAUCUCUUCUGUGUGCCAGGGUCUACUAGAGGAAGAGCUAUGGCUACGCAUGGAUGUGCUUUGGUAACCUAAGCACAAACCAGAAAAGAAAUAAUGAUUUCAGGCAGUGAUUUACAGAAACUCUGUGAAGGCAUGUCCACAGGAUCAAGAGACCCCUGAGCUAAGAAAAACCUCUUACCUACUGCAAACCUUGGCUGUGCUGCUUCCCAGAUGGUUACGUUCAAAUGGUGAGUGUUCCCACACUUAGCUCAUGGGUCUAAAAACAAAGUUUAUUUAAUGCAGAAACAGUGCAAGUGAAUCUUAUUGUUUUAUUUUUGAGUUGUGCUUGGCCUCCUUCACAAUUUAUGUCUUUUCUGUACAAAGGCAGGGUGGGAUCCAGCUGCUCCACAGACAAGCUGUCACACAGCUGGCCACCUAAACCACACUGGGCCGUGCUGGUAAAGAAAAUUUCUGGCUGGUUCUUCCCGGUUAUCCUGGCAGGCUGUGUGUUUGUUUCAUGAACUUUAAGAUCUUUAAAUAUUUACUUGGCUCUUUGCUUUCCUAUUAGAAAAUGGUGAGGCAGUUUGUUUCUAAUAUCUGCCAGGAUCUCUUCAGCUUGUGAGGUUACCUUUCCUUAAAUUACUGAGCAUGAUCUUUACAGAGAGGGAUGAGGAAGAGGUCACGCCGCUGUAAGGGUGAACCCGAACCUCAGAUCAAACAACGCUGUGUUGGUGUUGAAGCUACAGAGUCAUCCUGGGGUUGUAUUUUCAAAGCGUCUCUGAGGAGUUACACUCCAUUUUAAAUCCCAUUAAAAAUUAGCAGCCUUGUUAAACAUCUCUCUCUCUCCGUGGUAUUUUCAUAGUGUCGCUCAGCAGGAAAGGGAGGCUAAUGGGGGCGAGCAGGAAGAAGCACCAUCACAGCUGAAAUCCUGGCCCCUAAAAGAAGGUUGCUCUUUCUGGAGAUGGGAUAUGGUGUUGCGAGCCCCCAGUGUAGGGGUCCUCUCCCCCACCCCCACCUUAAGCCAUAACCACCAGUGGGGGUGGUGAUGGCUGCAUUAGGCUUAGGCUCGACUUUGGGGGACAGAUGGCAACGUGGCUGUCUGGAACAGUGACCCAGACAACUUGCUGGCUUGCAGAUGUCAGUCAAUCAUCUUGCUCUAUAAAUAGGGGAGAGUCCAGGGCCGUUGAGCUCUCCUGCGCAGCAGCAGGCUGCUCGCCAGGAUCUCCCUUUGAGCAGGGACGCCCCUCAAGGUUACUCCUCGAGCUGAGAGAGUCCUUGCCACAACAGAUCCUCAGUAAGUGACUAAUAGCAUGCUAAACUUUGAAAUCUUAGCUAAGUGAUAUAAAGGAUUGAUUGCGCAUACAUAAUCCUUUGGACAUAAACUGUUGAUCGUCUGGGAUUAGGAUUGUAUCCAGGCUCACCUAGACUCCUCUCUGAGUAGGAGUUCAGAAAGCAAGAGGGUCCUUUCUGAACCUCAUGACUCAAUGGGAGAGUCUCCCUGACAGUUUUGUCUGACCCCAUCCUCUAUGCAGUAAAUAAUCCAGUGUAAUUUACCAUCGAAUCUUGUUAAACCA